AUUGUAAACUCCUGUCGGCCGGGAAGAAAUUCAUCGAGGCUCAUACCCCCGGUGAUUGACUGUACCGGCAAAGGAAGCCCCGGCUAACUCUGUGC
rnacentral:rRNA from 1 species